ensembl:lncRNA mucin-5AC-like
AUGUCUCCCUCCCAGUCCUCACUACUGCUGCUGCUGCUGAUGGUCUCCUGCUCCUGGGCCCCCCGCUCCUUAGGAGGAACCAUGACCUUCAUCUUCAUAGGGACCAACCCAGACGGAACCUACGGGGUGGACGUUUAUUACAAGACAGCCUUUACACGUUGUGGUACAUGGUUGUGUACCAGUGAGGACUGUGGGAAUGAGGUUAUGAUAGAGGGUCAGACAGUGGACCAGGAGAUGUCUGGGGACUGGUGUCAGACAGAAGGAGUCUUUAAUGUUGACUUAUCCAGUAACACAGUCGACUUUUCUCUGCGAUUGAAUAGAAGUUUAUGGAUAGACAAUGAUAAUUCUGUUGUUGUUUGGAGGCUGUGGCCCUAUGUGGAUCUUGGGGUCAGGUCUGACACGGGGACAGUCAACCGAUCUCCACAGACCACUGUCAUACCUCUAAUGCGUGUCCCUGCUAAUUGUCAAAGAGAUUUCAACCUGUUGCUGUUUGAUCCAGAUGGGGAUCAGGUCAGAUGCAGAUAUGCAGUACCAACGGAUGAGUGUUACACAUCAAGUGACCUUCCUAAUGACUUCACUCUACGAGAGAACUGCACCUUGUCAUUUUGGGGCAACAGUAAUACCACUGGAACAUAUGCAGUUCAGUUAAUGAUGGAGGAUUUCCCUACUCAGUCCAUCUCUCUCUCCUAUACUGACGGAUAUCAAUCUAACAGGACCUCAAACGAUACACUCUGCAAACUACCUGUUCAGUUUGUAGUGAGAGUGGACCCCCCGGUGACAUCCUGUAUGGAGGGGUUGGACCUACCCAUGUUCGUGUCUCCAACACCAGCCCAGGGUACACUGCUGAACGCCUCUGCAGACCAACCCCUGGAAAUCAUUGUCAGAGCACAGGCUACCAACUCCACGGUUUCAGAGCUGUUGGUGAGUGGACCUUCCGGUAUCACAGAUAACACCACUGAUCCAGGAAAGUACCUUCUGAGAUGGACGCCCACUGAGGAUGAGGAGGGAGGGUACUAUCCUGUGUGCUUCAUCGCUCAGGGAGUGAACAACAGUUCCAAGUAUCACUCUGAGCUGCGCUGUGUGAUCGUCAGGGUUGGAAACACAAGCGCCAUCAUAACCACAGAGCCAACAACUUCCCCUCCUCUGACAAUAAACCUCACGACCGCAGAGGAACCAACAACCUCCCCUCCUCUGACAAUAAACCUCACGACCGCAGAGGAACCAACAACCUCCCCUCCUCUGACAAUAAACCUCACGACCACAGAGGAACCAACAACCUCCCCUCCUCUGACAAUAAACCUCACGACCACAGAGGAACCAACAACCUCCCCUCCUCUGACAAUAAACCUCACGACCACAGAGGAACCAACAACCUCCCCUCCUCUGACAAUAAACCUCACGACCACACAGAUUGCACCGGAACUUCCAACCACGCCCACAAAUUUCAGUACAUACGCAACCACAGCAUCCCCAACUUUAAGUACAAACCCAACCACCGAUCUCACAACCCAUAUUGUGGACAGUACAACAAAGAGCAGUGGGCCUAGAUACGUUGUUGUACUGAGGAUAAAAGUGUCCUCUCUGAUCCCACUGACAGAUGAUUACAUCAGAAACGUGGUGUUUCAGCAGCUCCGUGUGGAACUGAUCAGACUAGGGCUGCCAGGGGACUUCAUGCUACGCCUGUUAGCCACUCAUGACAUCAGUCCCUGA